GACGUAGGGCGCGAGCGUUGUCCGGAUUUAUUGGGCGUAAAGAGCUCGUAGGCGGUCUGUUGCGUCGGCUGUGAAAACCCGGGGCUCAACUCCGGGCCCGCAGCCGAUACGGGCAGACUAGAGUUCGGCAGGGGAGACUGGAAUUCCUGGUGUAGCGGUGAAAUGCGCAGAUAUCAGGAGGAACACCGGUGGCGAAGGCGGGUCUCUGGGCCGAUACUGACGCUGAGGAGCGAAAGCGUGGGGAGCGAACAGG
rnacentral:rRNA from 1 species